rnacentral:rRNA from 1 species
ACGGCUCAGUAACACGUGGAUAACCUGCCCUUGGGUCCGGCAUAACCCCGGGAAACUGGGGAUAAUUCCGGAUAACGCACAUAUGCUGGAAUGCUUUAUGCGUAAAAUGGAUUCGUCUGCCCAAGGAUGGGUCUGCGGCCUAUCAGGUAGUAGUGGGUGUAAUGUACCUACUAGCCAACAACGGGUACGGGUUGUGAGAGCAAGAGCCCGGAGAUGGAUUCUGAGACAUGAAUCCAGGCCCUACGGGGCGCAGCAGGCGCGAAAACGUUACAAUGCGGGAAACCGUGAUAAGGGGACACCGAGUGCCAGCGUCAUACGCUGGCUGUCCGGGUGUGUAAAAUACACCUGUUAGCAAGGGCCGGGCAAGACCGGUGCCAGCCGCCGCGGUAACACCGGCGGCCCGAGUGGUGAUCGUGAUUAUUGGGUCUAAAGGGUCCGUAGCCGGUUCGGUCAGUCCUCCGGGAAAUCUGACAGCUUAACUGUUAGGCUUUCGGGGGAUACUGCCAGACUUGGAACCGGGAGAGGUAAGAGGUACUACAGGGGUAGGAGUGAAAUCUUGUAAUCCCUGUGGGACCACCUGUGGCGAAGGCGUCUUACCAGAACGGGUUCGACGGUGAGGGACGAAAGCUGGGGGCACGAACCGGAUUAGAUACCCGGGUAGUCCCAGCCGUAAACGAUGCUCGCUAGGUGUCAGGCAUGGCGCGACCGUGUCUGGUGCCGCAGGGAAGCCGUGAAGCGAGCCACCUGGGAAGUACGGCCGCAAGGCUGAAACUUAAAGGAAUUGGCGGGGGAGCAC